rnacentral:rRNA from 1 species
CCUACGGGAGGCUGCAGUGAGGAAUAUUGGUCAAUGGACGAGAGUCUGAACCAGCCAAGUAGUGUGAAGGAUGACUGCCCUAUGGGUUGUAAACUUCUUUUAUAAAGGAAUAAAACGAGGCACGUGUGCCUUUUUGCAUGUACUUUAUGAAUAAGGAUCGGCUAACUCCGUGCCAGCAGCCGCGGUAAUACGGAGGAUCCGAGCGUUAUCCGGAUUUAUUGGGUUUAAAGGGAGCGUAGAUGGGUUGUUAAGUCAGUUGUGAAAGUUUGCGGCUCAACCGUAAAAUUGCAAUUGAUACUGGCAGUCGUGAGUACAGUUGAGGUAGGCGGAAUUGGUGGUGUAGCGGUGAAAUGCUUAGAUAUCACGAAGAACCCCGAUUGCGAAGGCAGCUUACUAAACUGUGACUGACAUUGAUGCUCGAAAGUGUGGGUAUCAAACAGGAUUAGAUACCCUAGUAGUC